rnacentral:misc_RNA from 1 species
AAAAAAAAAAAAAAGAAGAAGGAGGAGGCGGAGGAGGAGAAGAAACGUCACGUACCUCGACUUAACUUCUCUGGUGCCUUUUAUUGGAUGGCAGCUGGCGUUUAACUUGUCUCAUACUAAGUUAAGAGUAAUGGCCUAUUGUUUAAAUGGCUGUUAGUUUAAAUGGGUUGAUGAUUUAAAUGGACUAGUCGUUAUUAGUUUUUUUUUUUAUAAUUAAAUAUUAAAUAUAAAUUAGUUUAAUAUUUAAUACAUAAUUAUUUGUAAUAAGUUUACAGGAUUUAAUUUAAAUAAUUUUAAAUUAUG